rnacentral:rRNA from 1 species
UACGGAGGGAGCUAGCGUUGUUCGGAAUUACUGGGCGUAAAGCGCGCGUAGGCGGCUUUUUAAGUCAGGGGUGAAAUCCCGGGGCUCAACCCCGGAACUGCCCUUGAAACUGGAUGGCUAGAAUACUGGAGAGGUGAGUGGAAUUCCGAGUGUAGAGGUGAAAUUCGUAGAUAUUCGGAAGAACACCAGUGGCGAAGGUGACUCACGGGACAGUUAUUGACGCUGAGGGGAGAAAGCGUGGGGAGCAAACAGG